GUCCUUGGCGAAGUUUCCGCUUUCCAUACUGGGCCUGCCAAAACAAUAGAGAGUUUCGGGGAGCGUUGCAGAUUCGUGGAACAUAUUUUCCACUGGUAGUGGCCAGGGAAGGAGCCGUACGCGCCUGUGCCCACCCCUGCAAAAAGCCGCCUAACGCACAUUCCAUUGCGCACGCAAGGAUUUCUUUUCGAGGUAGUACCCCUGAUGCAUUGCGCCAGAGCAUGUUAUCAACGGCCGCACGAUUUGAUGGCGCGCAGAUGAUCAUAGCUAUGAAGGCGGUAGAGCAAGAUACAUAUCGCGGGUAAAGGGGUUAACGUAGGCAACGUAGCGUCGUGUUGAGGACGGCAUGUAUUGCGCGCGUGUUCAGAGCCAUUGCGAGCGCGCGUGACGUCAUGGCCGAUGGUGACGUAAUAAUGCAAAUUAGAAUAAAAAAACAAAGAGACCCAAGCUAGCUUGAAAGCUACAGAUCUGCGAUGAUCUGGAUAAUUGUAAGCGUACUUUUCAGGACUUUGUUGGGUAUUUUGGAUCAUGAACGUUUUGGUAAAUAUAAUAUCUUUAAUUGUGAUUGAAGAUAUUAUGUUUACCAAAACGUUUAGCGGAGUCGCGCAAUGUAAUUCUUGGAAUUACAGCUUUUACAGAGCCAAGCUCCCUUCCCGCCAUCUCAGCCAACAGCCGCACUGCCACUGUUGCAUCCUUCAAGAAUGUGGAGACGGAGUUACAGCAAAAGGAUGCUUCCAGUGACAAUGAUAACAAAAGCAUCAGCAGUAGAAGGGAUAUCGGUGGUCGCAUGUCGAGGACCACGAGUCGUCCAUUGUCGGCGCCAAUGCCAAGACGGUCAAGAACCAUCGGUGACCUUGCACGUGAUCUGCCGACCCCGAGGAAAGCCACUUGAUCAAUAUAGGGAUAUCGAGCGAGUGGCUUGCCUCGGGGUCGGCACCAGACCUGACAAUGGAUGCAUCGCGGGCUCUGUUUUCUGGUGGCGAACAAGCAAAGUCAUCUAUUCUGCGAUUUGAUACAGCAAAAUCUCAAUCAGGACAGGUUCCAACGAGUAUAAUCUAGACAACAAGAAAUAGAAACAGCAACAAGGAACUUGGCAAAGCUGAAACAAAAAGCGGACAAUCAGCUUCUGCUAUUUCACACCCCCCGAAAAGCAAGAGAGACAAAACCAGGGAUAAAACCACCAUGUCUACCAACUCUUAUACUAAUCGCCACAGCAGCACGUACAUAACCAAGACCAUAGAUUAGUUUGCUUCGGAAUCUGGUGCCUCUAUCACAGUUCCCCCAAGUAACAAAGACAGGUCUAGUAAAGAGUUCUUCUUCUGCUACCCUCCCUCAAGCAACAAUGCUCGACCAAAGACCACUGAAUCCAACACAAAUAGGUCAGUGGCACCCAGAAAUUUAACAAAGGGCGAUUCAGGCCCGCAGUGUACACACUAAAGGUGAUAAGGGAGAAACUCAGGAUCAGCAGCCUUUCAGUGACACCCCCAGAAAAGAGCCCUCAGAAGCCUUUACCACCGAAACCAACUAAAGCACAAAAACGAAAAGCACGCAGGGAGAAGCUGGAGAUGUACCUUAGCAUGAGCUUAAACACUCAAGGGGCUCAUAGAGAGUAGUCAUCUAAAACACCAGGUGUUACUAAACGCCUAAUCAAAAUAACUGAAGACGCAUCCCAGACGACAGAAACGAGUGGUGUGCGUCAGAAAGCCACGGUUAUUGAUAGAGCAGCCAGACCGGCGAGUCCGAAUGAGGUGAAGGGCGUGUGUGCAAGUGAAAGUUCUUCUCUUCUAUCCGCAUAUGACAUCCAAGAAAGAAUUAACAGCUUCUCAAUACACCCUAAAGAGACACGAACUCAGAAGACUGAGGAGAAGUCGAAAAAAGUCUAUACUAUAUGCUGGCUUGCGCGCUUUGCCGAAUGACACAGCGCCGGCCAACGACAGCAAGGCUGAUAAUACGCAGGUUAGCGUCACUGAGAUUGAUGAGGCAAUUGCUAAAAA